GGACCCGACUGCUAUCAGAGUGAGAUUAAGCCAUGCGAGUCAACGUAGCAAUACGUGGCACACGGCUCAGUAACACGUAGUCAACAUAACCAAAGGACGUGGAUAAACUCGGGAAACUGAGGCUAAACCGCGAUAGACCAAGAUACCUGGAAUGGUUUUUGAUUAAAAUCUAUAUGGCCUUUGGAUUGGACUGCGACCGAUCAGGCUGUUGGUGAGGUAAUGGCCCACCAAACCUGUAACCGGUACGGGCUCUGAGAGGAGGAGCCCGGAGAUGGGUACUGAGACAAGGACCCAGGCCCUAUGGGGCGCAGCAGGCGCGAAACCUCUGCAAUAGGCGAAAGCCUGACAGGGUUAUUCUGAGUGACUUUCGCUAAGAAAGUCUUUUGACAUCUCUAAAAAUGGUGUAGAAUAAGGGGUGGGCAAGUCUGGUGUCAGCCGCCGCGGUAAUACCAGCACCCCGAGUGGUCGGGACGAUUAUUGGGCCUAAAGCAUCCGUAGCCGGUUUUACAAGUCCUCCGUUAAAUCCAACUGCUUAACAGAUGGGCCGCGGAGGAUACUAUAAGACUAGGAGGCAGGAGAGGCAAGCGGUACUCAGUGGGUAGGGGUAAAAUCCGUUGAUCCAUUGAAGACCACCAGUGGCGAAGGCGGCUUGCCAGAAUGCGCUCGACGGUGAGGGAUGAAAGCUGGGGGAGCAAACCGGAUUAGAUACCCGGGUAGUCCCAGCUGUAAACGAUGCAGACUCGGUGAUGGACUAGCUUCAUGCUAGUCCAGUGCCGCAGGGAAGCCGUUAAGUCUGCCGCCUGGGGAGUACGGUCGCAAGACUGAAACUUAAAGGAAUUGGCGGGGGAGCACCACAAGGGGUGAAGCUUGCGGUUCAAUUGGAGUCAACGCCGGGAAUCUUACCGGGGGCG
rnacentral:rRNA from 1 species